GUCUACGGCCAUGCCACCCUGAACACACCCGAUCUUGUCUGAUCUCGGAAGCUAAGCAGGGCCGGGCCUGGUUAGUACUUGGAUGGGAGACCAUUUACGAAGACCCGGUGCUGUAGGCU
rnacentral:rRNA from 1 species